rnacentral:rRNA from 1 species
AACGAACGCUGGCGGCAGGCUUAACACAUGCAAGUCGAACGCCCCGCAAGGGGAGUGGCAGACGGGUGAGUAACGCGUGGGAAUCUACCCAGAUCUUCGGAACAACACAGGGAAACUUGUACUAAUACCGGAUACGCCCUACGGGGGAAAGAUUUAUCGGAUUUGGAUGGGCCCGCGUUGGAUUAGCUAGUUGGUGAGGUAAUGGCUCACCAAGGCUACGAUCCAUAGCUGGUCUGAGAGGAUGUUCAGCCACACUGGGACUGAGACACGGCCCAGACUCCUACGGGAGGCAGCAGUGGGGAAUAUUGGACAAUGGGCGAAAGCCUGAUCCAGCCAUGCCGCGUGAGUGAUGAAGGCCUUAGGGUUGUAAAGCUCCUUUAGUGGGGAAGAUAAUGACGGUACCCACAGAAAAAGCCCCGGCUAACUUCGUGCCAGCCGCCGCGGUAA